UGGGCUGAGGUGAGGUGGAGACUGAGGUGAGGUGGAGACUGAGGUGAGGUGAGGUGGAGACUGAGGUGACAGUGAGAGCAGGUAUAGUUAGAGACAGAUAACAGGCUGAGGUGAGGUGGAGACAGGUGAGGUGAGGUGGAGACUGAGGUGAGGUGAGAUGAGGUGGAGACUGAGGUGACAGUGAGAGCAGGUAUAGUUAGAGACAGAUAGCAGGCUGAGGUGAGGUGGAGACUGAGGUGAGGUGAGAUGAGGUGGAGACUGAGGUGACAGUGAGAGCAGGUAUAGUUAGAGACAGAUAACAGGCUGAGGUGAGGUGGAGACUGAGGUGAGGUGAGAUGAGGUGGAGACUGAGGUGACAGUGAGAGCAGGUAUAGUUAGAGACAGAUAGCAGGCUGAGGUGAUAGAUAUAGAUAGAUAGAUGGUGGUUCCUAACUGUUACGUGGUCGUGUAUACAACAGUACUAGUUAUAAUACAAGGAUCCGAGUUUUUACCCACGGAACACUCUGAUGACUGUUGGGAAGGUGAAAUAUCCAGAAAGAAAGUCCCUAAGUACAUGUAUAUUAAAUGAAUCCUUAAAAUAUUUCAAAUUUUAGAAUUGUUAACCAAAUUAGAUUUAGAGAUUGCAAUAUUAAAGUGUACAUUUUUUUUUGUUUGUUCAUUUGAAGUGAAGAAUGAGGAAACGAGACAUUUUUACACACCUUAUUAUUACAUAGAGUAAGAAAACGUCUUCUUCUCCUCCUGGCUGUUUCUACCCACAACGUUGUAUACAAUUGCUGGUUUUGUAAUGCACUGUAGAGCAAAUGCAGUUCCACUGUUCUUCUUCUUUUUAUAUAUAUAUAGAAAUUUUAUUUCAAUGGUGUAUUCUUUUUGUUUGUUUGAUAAAUACAGUUUUGAU